rnacentral:SRP_RNA from 1 species
GCAAUAAUGUGAUGGGACAUGGCUUUGGUUCAUUGGGCUGGGUUGAGUUGUACUCUAUUCUGGCCUGCCCGCUCCAAGUCGAGAGUUGGGCCAUGGGAUUUGGGCGAAGGCCCGGUUCUCCUGGUCUCUAGAAUGGAGGGAACCGCAUGAGGCUGGUUUCACAGAGCAGUGAACACCUCCUGCUCUUGACAGUGGAGGGAUAACAGGCUGUUGUACUCUCAACCCACAUAGCCUGAUGGGCUUAGCACAUUGGACCAUCACUUUU